AUUGANCGCUGGCGGCAGGCUGAAGAAUGCAAGUCGAGCGAGAAAGCCCUUCGGGGUGAGUACAGCGGCGGACGGGUGAGUAACGCGUAGGAAUCUACCCAGUAGUGGGGGACAACUAGUGGAAACGCUAGCUAAUACCGCAUACGCCCUACGGGGGAAAGCGGGGGACCUUCGGGCCUCGUGCUAUUGGAUGAGCCUGCGUAAGAUUAGCUUGUUGGUGGGGUAAUGGCUCACCAAGGCGACGAUCUUUAGCUGGUCUGAGAGGAUGAUCAGCCACACCGGGACUGAGACACGGCCCGGACUCCUACGGGAGGCAGCAGUCGGGAAUAUUGCGCAAUGGGCGAAAGCCUGACGCAGCCAUGCCGCGUGUGUGAAGAAGGCCCUAGGGUUGUAAAGCACUUUCAAUUGGGAGGAAAAGCUAAUGGUUAAUAACCAUUAGCCCUGACGUUACCUUUAGAAGAAGCACCGGCUAACUCCGUGCCAGCAGCCGCGGUAAUACGGAGGGUGCAAGCGUUAAUCGGAAUUACUGGNCGUAAAGCGCGCGUAGGCGGUUUUUUAAGUCGNAUGUGAAAGCCCCGGGCUCAACCUGGGAACUGCAUCCGAUACUGGAUCACUAGAAUGCGGGA
rnacentral:rRNA from 1 species